rnacentral:misc_RNA from 1 species
AGUUCCUUGUGUAAAGUCGUACAGCGAAAACAUGGGGUACGGUCAAACGUUAGCAUGGAGUCUUCUUAUGAUACUUUUAGAUAUGCCAAACAUUGUGCAAAGUCGAUUGUUUGUAUCGUACAGUAGGUCAUCCAGAACGGUGACUAAUAGAAGGAUCACAUACACUCAAACAAACUCACAGUUGAUGUGGAUAUUUGUCGGAUUCUUUUUCGGUGCCAUUAUACUGGUUUUAUUAUGCUUCUUCUGUUACAUUAAAUGCAGACGUAAACCCUCAGCAUCAGGAACUACUGGAGCUGUUUACUUUCAGCUUCCGUAACAGCCACGGCCGGUCCAAGGUACGAUAUUGACCCUCCUCAAUACUCACAAACAGUGGAACCCGGUCAUCAAAGCCUAAAGUCCCCAGAAGGACCCCUUCCACCACGUUAUAGUGACAUCAUCAAUUCGUCAGGUGACGUCACGUUAUCACAAGGUGCUAUUGACAACCCAGCAUUCACUACAGAUGACGAAACACUUACUGAACAAAACGUGGAAGUAAGAACUGAUUCUUGUAAUAUAGCUGUCUCGGAGAGGCCUUGUGAAAUACGAGAGGACCACAUGGAAGAAGCGACAAACGAAAAUAACUGUAAGAAGGAUAAAGAUACACCAACACACGACAAAGCUGGACUGAUUGACAAUGAAGUAGAGCACUCCGACAGUUAGGUUCACCUGUCCCGCAAGUUAUUGUCUGAUGAUAGUGUCUAUUGAUUGUAUUUGAUAUCUUGUAGAAUGUCUUGAUACUAUGCCAUUUCUUUACCAUGUAAAAGUUGCAUGGAAUCGAUUGAAAAUAAAUUAUUACAAAAAUUG